UUUUUUUGUUUGUUUUUUGUCAUAACUUCAUAACUAAUUUAGCAAGGAGAGAAAUGGCAGUACUUACUUUUUUUCAUAACUACAAAAGGUCAAAUUAUUCUAUAUUUAGAAAAUGUUGAAAUGUGUAGAUAUAUUUUCCUUCUAAGGUAAUUACAAGUUCCAAUUUAUUUUACAUUAAUAUGUGUAAAACUAUCAAGUAAUAAUAAUAAAGUUGUGAUAAUUAAAACGGACAGUUGAAAUUUGCUUGUUCUAUUUAUAUAUGUUGAUGAAAGGUCUAUUUUCAUAAGUGUGUUUCUAUGGAAGACAAAUACUUUCAAAUUUCUAAAAUGUAUAAUUAUCCUCAUGUGGCUCAAGGCAUCUUUGACAUCUGUUUAGACAUAUAAAAGAGUAGGCUUUUUUUCCAUGGGAGUAUUUUUGGCAAGGUAAAUCUCAGAUUUUCUCAAAAUGCAUUUUUAAAUUCUGUGAGCUAACUCCUGCCUUUUCUUAUGGAAUGUAGAGAAUAUGUGAAAAUCUUCUCAACUUUGUGCUGCUCUGACCCUCUUAACUAAGUACUAGAUUCUUCUUAACUUCAACUCAGCCCAAGACGCUGAGGGGACCAGCCACUUUAUGAAUCUUAGUGAGGGGUUCCUCAUUCCACCUGCCUUCCUGCUGAUGCAGCUCCGCUAAUAUCCCCCAAGAACUGGAGUUCUUCCUGAAGACUAGGAACUGGCAAGGCUAGUGACUGGAUGCCUCUCUUGUCUCCAGUGCUACAUUUCUUCUAUCACUACAACUAAGAUAAGUUCUUCUAUCACUACAACUAAGAUAAGUUUCAAUAAACUUAGACUAAACCAUGUUUUAAAAAUAUUUUGGCAGAUUUCAGUCUGAAAAAUUUAAUAGUUCUGAGUCUUUCCAGAGUAAAAAUGAAAACUGUGUGUAGAGAAGAAAGAGCUCUCCUCUACUUUUGUAGAUUUGAUAAAGGAAUUGAUGAGAUAAACUGACAAAAGGCAGAUUAACAAGAGAGCAAGUACAUGAAUUUAUCAAUGUUUAAUAUUACAUACACAGAGCACCAUGGAAAAGUGGAUAUCAAAAAUACAGUGAUAAAGUUCUCACAGUGGCUCAGUAGGUUAAGAACUUGACAUAGUGUCCAUGAGGAUGUGGGUUCAAUCCCUGGCUUUACUCAGUGGCUUAAGGAUUUGGUGUUGCUGCAAGUUGUGGAGCAGGUCACAGAUGAGGUUCGGAUCUAGUGUUGAUAUUGCUGUGGCAUAGGCUGGCAGCUGUGGCUCUGAUUUGAUCCCAAGCUUGGGAACUUCCAUACACCACAGGUGCAGCCCUAAAAAGAAAAAAAAAAGGUACAGUGAGUUUUGAAAGUUUAUAUAUCAUCUUAAUAGGGGGAGUGAGGUCUAGGCCAUUAUGGGGAGGGUAAAUGUCUUUCAGGAUGAGAAAUGGGCCUUUAGAAGCACACUCGGGAGGUAUGAGAAUUUGUGGUGAGGUUUGUUUGAGGAUGGUGACUUCCAGUCUCUCUUGCGAUGAGUUCCCUGGUUUCUGAAACUCCCAGGAGGGGAGUAAUUACAAUGGAAUUCCCUUUCUGUCUUUCACCACACAGGAAGAGUUCAGAGAAAGCCUCUGCCUACAUUUGCUAUUUUUCAAAUAUCUUCAGCUCAAAAUAAUCAAUAUGUCAAAGUGGCAUAUUUUGAGGUUACAAGCCCUAAACUCCUUGAAUAAUCAUAUAUGAAAAAAAAUCUAUCAAUUAUGGUAUGUUUUGUCUGGAGGAAAUUUUGAAGAUGAAGUGGAGAUGAAGACUUAUUAAACAACUCACCAACUGUUAAUUUCUUUUGAAUGAAGUGUAAAAUAACCUCCAAGUUCAAAAUCAAAAUAUGGCGUUGCCUCCUCUGAAGCUGCUCAGCCUAGGCAAUAGUUCCUCUCAAUUUCACCUUUUUCUUCCAUUGUUAUUCUCUGUUUACUUCUGUUUUCUCCAAAUAAAUAGCUAAUUUUGAUGACAUUCUUAAUAGUCUUGCCUGCUAAUGACUUUAGUCUUAUUUCUGGAUUUUGGGAUUAUUUGCCAUUUCUUUAAUUCUAAUUCAAUGUUUUAUUUUUAUUUUUUUAUCAAGUAGUCUUAAUUGUAAUCAAUUGUUAUUUCCAAAUUUUACUUCAAUGUUUUACACUUUUUGGAACCUAAGAAAGAAGUGUUGUACAGAAGGGAUUUAGAUUAACUCCUGUAGUCUUACUUCCUUGAUUUACUGCAACUGAAGUAAUUUAUAGGUUAAUUAAAAACUAAAUUAGGGGAGUUCCCGUCGUGGCGCAGUGGUUAACGAAUCCGACUAGGAACCAUGAGGCUGCGGGUUCAGUCCCUGCCCUUGCUCAGUGGGUUAACGAUCUGGCGUUGCCGUGAGCUGUGGUGUGGACCCUCAAAAAAAAGACAAAAAGACAAAAAAAUAAAUAAACAAAAUAAAGAUGGAUUUCCCAAGUAACAGAAAUAAAACCAAAAAUAAAAACAUGGAACCUAGUCAAACUUAUAAGCUUUUGCAUAGCAAGGAGAAUUAUAAACAAAAUGAAAAUACAGCUUAUGGACUAGGAGAAAAUAUUUACAAAUUAUGUAACCAAUGCAUUUAAUUUCAAAAUAUAAAAACAGCCCAUACAACUCAAUAACAAAAACAAAAAAACAACACAACUGAAAAAAUAGGCUGAAGAGCUAAAUAGACAUUUCUCCAAAGACAGACAAAUGGCCAAAAAGCACAU
rnacentral:lncRNA from 1 species